rnacentral:rRNA from 1 species
GUGGGGAAUAUUGCGCAAUGGGCGAAAGCCUGACGCAGCUACGCCGCGUGGGUGAUGAAGGCCUUCGGGUUGUAAAGCCCUGUCGAGGGGGAAGAAGCAAUGACGGUACCCCUCAAGAAAGCGCCGGCUAACCCUGUGCCAGCAGCCGCGGUAAUACAGGGGGCGCGAGCGUUGCUCGGAAUCACUGGGCGUAAAGCGUACGCAGGCGGACCGUUAAGUCGGAUGUGAAAUCCCAGGGCUCAACCCUGGAAGUGCAUUCGAUACUGGCGGUCUUGAGUACGGGAGAGGAGAGCGGAAUUCCUGGUGUAGAGGUGAAAUUCGUAGAUAUCAGGAGGAACACCGGUGGCGAAAGCGGCUCUCUGGCCCGAUACUGACGCUCAUGUACGAAAGCGUGGGGAGCAAACAGGAUUAGAUACCCGAGUAGUCC